rnacentral:rRNA from 1 species
AGCGAACGCUGGCGGCAUGCCUAACACAUGCAAGUCGCACGGGGGGGCUUCGGCCUCCCAGUGGCGGACGGGUGAGGAACGCGUAGGGACCUGUCGAGGGGUGGGGGAUAACCGCGGGAAACUGCGUCUAAUACCGCAUGACGCCGCGGCGUGACAGCCGGGGCCAAAGGCGAAAGCCGCCCGCCGAGGGGCCUGCGUCCGAUUAGCUGGUUGGCGGGGUAGCGGCCCACCAAGGCGUCGAUCGGUAGCUGGUCUGAGAGGGUGAUCAGCCACACCGGGACUGAGACACGGCCCGGACUCCUACGGGAGGCAGCAGUGGGGAAUAUUGGACAAUGGGCGCAAGCCUGAUCCAGCAAGGCCGCGUGGGUGAAGAAGGUCUUCGGAUUGUAAAGCCCUUUCGGCGGGGACGAUGGUGACGGUACCCGCAGAAGAAGCCCCGGCUAACUUCGUG